GUCGAUUGUCACAGGGGAAUUGGGUGAUUGAUGUCAAUUUUGGGGACGAAGAUAAUGGAGCAAGGAAGAAGAUUCGGAUAAUUUUUAUUUUUUUUUCUAUGGUCGAAUAACUAACCCCUAAAUAGGUUUAAUAGAAUAUAAUUUUCAGCAUUCUUCAGUAUAACAUUUUUUUCUCUUCCAAUCUUCAGUAUAACAUUAUUGGCAAUGACAAAUAUGUAGGAGAAAUAGAAUCAUAAGUACUUCAAAAUAAGACUUAAUACGCAAAAUUAGAAAAGAAUGGUAUUUCAAACCAAUAUACUUGAGUGGUCUCAAGUCUCA
rnacentral:lncRNA from 1 species